GUACACUCCUACGGGAGGCAGCAGUGGGGAAUUUUGGACAAUGGGGGCAACCCUGAUCCAGCAAUGCCGCGUGAGUGAAGAAGGCCUUCGGGUUGUAAAGCUCUUUUGUCAGGGAAGAAACGGUGGUGGCGAAUAACUACUACUAAUGACGGUACCUGAAGAAUAAGCACCGGCUAACUACGUGCCAGCAGCCGCGGUAAUACGUAGGGUGCAAGCGUUAAUCGGAAUUACUGGGCGUAAAGCGUGCGCAGGCGGUUGUGUAAGUCAGAUGUGAAAUCCCCGGGCUCAACCUGGGAAUUGCAUUUGAGACUGCACGGCUAGAGUGUGUCAGAGGGGGGUAGAAUUCCACGUGUAGCAGUGAAAUGCGUAGAUAUGUGGAGGAAUACCGAUGGCGAAGGCAGCCCCCUGGGAUAACACUGACGCUCAUGCACGAAAGCGUGGGGAGCAAACAGGAUUAGAUACCCGAGUAGUCCCAUGAU
rnacentral:rRNA from 1 species